rnacentral:lncRNA from 1 species
CUCAGCAUUGCCACGGUGUUUUUAGGGUUAAAGGCAUUGAGAGAAGCCGCAGGGCAGCUUCCCUCCCGGCAGGAGCACUUGCGUUCAGAAUAACGUCUUUUGACAUCUGCAGGUCCCGUGCUCUCUCCUGUUAUUCCCAUGUGUGCCAGGAUGGUUCUUGGCCAGCUCCCGGGAAAACAAGAAAAAGAGGAAGAUUGGUUUACUCGACCAUCAUUUACUGAGCACCAUCAGAUGCAGGCGCAUUCAAAGCCAUAGAAAUGCAGAGCCCUGAGCAACACGGACAAGGUCCUAGUUUCCAGGCAAGUCAGCGUUUGGAGUCCCCCUGCUCUGGGGAGGCAGCCACGCAGUCGGCCUUAAGGAUGAUGCUACUUUGUGGCCUAGAGUAUUCUCAUCUCUGUGCUAGUUCACAGGAAGCAGUAGUUUAAAAGCCAGAUCUGAGACUCAACAUUUCAGAAACAUCACUGAUACCAAAGAGAAGGUUAUUCUUGUUUUAGUUGUAACUAGCCCCAGGGCUCACUGGGCCCUUCUCAACAGUUACCCACUGAGUA